AGAGUUUGAUCCUGGCUCAGGACGAACGCUGACGGUGUGCUUUAGGCAUGCAAGUCGAACGAGAAAGCCCUUCGGGGUGAGUAAAGUGGCGAACGGGUGAGUAACACGUGGGCAACCUGCCCCUCGCAGGGGGACAACCGGAGGAAACUCCGGCUAAUACCCCGUACGUUCUCAGGGUCGCAUGGCCCUGGGAAGAAAGGUAGCUUCGGCCAUCUGGCGAGGGAUGGGCCCGCGGUGCAUUAGCUAGUUGGUGGGGUAACGGCUCACCAAGGCGACGAUGCAUAGCUGGUCUGAGAGGAUGAUCAGCCACACUGGGACUGAGACACGGCCCAGACUCCUACGGGAGGCAGCAGCCAGGAAUCUUGGGCAAUGGGCGAAAGCCUGACCCAGCAACACCGUGUGGGCGAUGAAGGCCUUCGGGUCGUAAAGCCCUGUUGAUAGGGACGAAGGGCGAAGGGUUAAUAGCCCCUAGCCUGACGGUACCUUUCGAGGAAGCCCCGGCUAACUACGUGCCAGCCGCCGCGGUAAUUC
rnacentral:rRNA from 1 species